CCUACGGGGGGCAGCAGUGGGGAAUUUUGGACAAUGGGCGAAAGCCUGAUCCAGCCAUGCCGCGUGCAGGAUGAAGGCCUUCGGGUUGUAAACUGCUUUUGUACGGAACGAAAAGACUCUGGUUAAAUACCUGGGGUCCAUGACGGUACCGUAAGAAUAAGCACCGGCUAACUACGU
rnacentral:rRNA from 1 species